rnacentral:rRNA from 1 species
UCGCCUGUUUAUCAAAAACAUAGUUUCUGUUUAUAUAGGAGAUUUAACCUGCCCACUGAAAAAUUUUUGAAGGGCCGCAGUAUUUUGACUGUGCAAAGGUAGCAUAAUCAUUAGUCUUUUAAUUGGAGGCUGGUAUGAAUGGUUGGACGAGGCAAAUACUAUUUUAUGUUAAUUAGAAUUGAAUUUCGAUGUUAAGUAAAAAUACUUAAAUGUUAUUAAGGGACGAGAAGACCCUAUAGAGUUUAAUAUACAUAGUUUUGAUUGAGUUAAUAAGCAAUUUUUGGUUAAUUAUGAAGUAUAUUUGAUUGGGGUGAUUAAAAGAUAAAUAAAACUCUUUUUAAAGUUAAAUAUUUUAGUUAGUUGAUUGAUCCAUAUUUAAUGAUUAUAAGAUUAAAUUACCUUAGGGAUAACAGCGUAAUUCUUUUUGAGAGUUCAUAUCGAAAAAGGAGAUUGUGACCUCGAUGUUGGAUUAAGAUAAAUUUUAGGUGUAGAUGUUUAAAUAUUAGGUCUGUUCGACCUUUAAUUUCUUACAUGAUCUGAGUUCAAACCGGAGA